GCCUGGAUGGCUCAGUCGGUUGAGCGUCUGACUUCGGCUCAGGUCAUGGUCUCACAGUCCGUGGGUUCGAGCCCCGCGUCGGGCU
rnacentral:tRNA from 1 species